rnacentral:rRNA from 1 species
UACGUAGGUGGCGAGCGUUGUCCGGAUUUACUGGGCGUAAAGGGCUUGUAGGCGGUUCGUUAAGUCUGGUGUGAGAUCUCCCGGCUCAACUGGGAGGAGCCAUCGGAAACUGGCGAGCUAGAGGUGGGCAGAGGAAAGCGGAAUUCCCGGUGUAGCGGUGAAAUGCGUAGAUAUCAAGUGGAACACCGAUGGCGAAGGCAAUCCCCUGGGCCUGUACUGACGCUCGUGCACGAAAGCGUGGGGAGCAAACAGG